rnacentral:rRNA from 1 species
GACGAACGCUGGCGGCGUGCUUAACACAUGCAAGUCGUACGGUAAGGCCCUUCGGGGUACACGAGUGGCGAACGGGUGAGUAACACGUGGGUGAUCUGCCCUGCACUUCGGGAUAAGCCUGGGAAACUGGGUCUAAUACCGGAUAGGACCACUGCCUGCAUGGGUGGUGGUGGAAAGCUUUUGCGGUGUGGGAUGGGCCCGCGGCCUAUCAGCUUGUUGGUGGGGUGAUGGCCUACCAAGGCGACGACGGGUAGCCGGCCUGAGAGGGUGACCGGCCACACUGGGACUGAGGGACGGGCCAGACGCCUACGGGAGGCAGCAGUGGCGAAGAGUGCACAAUGGGCGCAAGCCCGAUGCAGUGACGCCGCGUGAGGGAUGACGGCCUUCGGGUUGUAAACCUCUUUCAGCACCGACGAAGCGCAAGUGACGGUAGGUGCAGAAGAAGUACCGGACAACUACGUGCCAGCCGCCGCCGUAA